AUCACUCCUACGGGAGGCAGCAGUGGGGAAUAUUGCACAAUGGGCGCAAGCCUGAUGCAGCCAUGCCGCGUGUAUGAAGAAGGCCUUCGGGUUGUAAAGUACUUUCAGCAGUGAGGAAGGUGGAGUCGUUAAUAGCGGCCUCAUUUGACGUUAGCUGCAGAAGAAGCACCGGCUAACUCCGUGCCAGCAGCCGCGGUAAUACGGAGGGUGCGAGCGUUAAUCGGAAUUACUGGGCGUAAAGCGCAUGCAGGUGGUUUGUUAAGUCAGAUGUGAAAGCCCGGGGCUCAACCUCGGAAUUGCAUUUGAAACUGGCAGACUAGAGUACUGUAGAGGGGGUAGAAUUUCAGGUGUAGCGGUGAAAUGCGUAGAGAUCUGAAGGAAUACCGGUGGCGAAGGCGGCCCCCUGGACAGAUACUGACACUCAGAUGCGAAAGCGUGGGGAGCAAACAGGAUUAGAUACCCUGGUAG
rnacentral:rRNA from 1 species